rnacentral:lncRNA from 1 species
GUUGUCUCUUUGACACAUUCCCCAUUUCCAUUCUCAAUUUUAUUUUUUACAGCGUUUGUCUUUAGUGCCGUGUGGAGACAGUAGAGUGCCUCCCCGUGCUUCAGGUUUAUGCUCUUAUAAUAUACUAGAUUAUGGAGUGUGUGUCCGAGCGAGAACUUCUCUAGUUCAUUACUUUAGGAAUAUUUAUCAAAAAGUAGUACUUUAGUAUUCAGCCCCUUUCUACUAUUUAGUCAGACGUCAGUCGCUACCCUGAUAUACCCUAUCUUUUUCGGGGUAAUUAAUACGGAUAGCGUUUGAC